rnacentral:other from 1 species
UGUUUCCUGGGAUGUACGAAAAUCUUGUUAUUUUGAACCUACAUUUACUUUUAUGGGUUUCCUAAAUCGCUGACAUGAUGUCAGGCCUCCUUUGAGUGGAAGGCAGAAUGUUAGUUGCGGUUACCCACCUAGCGUUGCUAGGAGUCAAAAUUUCAAGAAACGGCAUUUUGGGACAUAA